CCUACGGGCGGCUGCAGUGGGGAAUAUUGCACAAUGGGCGCAAGCCUGAUGCAGCCAUGCCGCGUGUGUGAAGAAGGCCUUCGGGUUGUAAAGCACUUUCAGCGGGGAGGAAGGCGUUAAGGUUAAUAACCUUGUCGAUUGACGUUACCCGCAGAAGAAGCACCGGCUAACUCCGUGCCAGCAGCCGCGGUAAUACGGAGGGUGCAAGCGUUAAUCGGAAUUACUGGGCGUAAAGCGCACGCAGGCGGUCUGUCAAGUCGGAUGUGAAAUCCCCGGGCUCAACCUGGGAACUGCAUUCGAAACUGGCAGGCUAGAGUCUUGUAGAGGGGGGUAGAAUUCCAGGUGUAGUGGUGAAAUGCGUAGAGAUCUGGAGGAAUACCGGGGGCGAAGGCGGCCCCCUGGACAAAGACUGACGCUCAGGUGCGAAAGCGUGGGGAGCAAACAGGAUUAAUACCCCGGUAGUC
rnacentral:rRNA from 1 species